UACGUAGGGUGCGAGCGUUGUCCGGAAUUAUUGGGCGUAAAGAGCUCGUAGGUGGCCUGUCGCGUCGGCUGUGAAAACUCGGGGCUCAACUCCGAGCUUGCAGUCGAUACGGGCAGGCUAGAGUUCGGCAGGGGAGACUGGAAUUCCUGGUGUAGCGGUGAAAUGCGCAGAUAUCAGGAGGAACACCGGUGGCGAAGGAGGGUCUCUGGGCCGAUACUGACGCUGAGGAGCGAAAGCGUGGGGAGCGAACAGG
rnacentral:rRNA from 1 species